CUACAAGGUAAUGGCACAUAUCGACUCCAGAUUUAAUAACCUCUGUAACAUUAUAUACUGUUUUCAAAAAAUGUAACAAUCUAUUUUUGUCUCUAUAGGACACACAUCCAACACAAAUCUAGCUACUACUAUCUCCAAAAGAACAUUUACCAUACCCCAAGGACUGCACAUCUGCUUCAUCACAGACUCAAUAUGUCGAGCUAUUAAAGACUACAUGCCAAAUGCACAAUCCUGGGUGCACCCAGGAACAACCCUUCUAAGAUCUGCAAUGCAACACAUCAACCACUUUAAGACAGUACACAACAACAGCAUUGUGAUCAUUCACAUCGGAACAAAUGACAUUGCAAGUGGAGCACCUGCAUCAGUAGUCGUCCAACGCAUGAAAACUCUCAUAACAAGAAUCUCCCUCACUAAUCCUCACAUCCUUUACUUUGGAAUCAGUGCUGUCUUACCACGUCCAACAGAUAACUCUACAACUAAGAACACCGUCAAAGACUUCAACAGCUUGCUUCGCUACUGGACUGAACAAACAACAAACAUAAUUUUUCUGAACACAACAAAACCAUUCCUCAAAAGUGGAAAAAUACUCCAUCACCUAUACAAGCAAGAUGGGCUACACCUCACUACACAAGGAAAACAAAGACUUUUUGCCUACUUCCAGCGUUUCCUCUGGCAUUUUUGUCGUUUUCAAACUCCCACAAAAAAAUGUUUAACUAACUAACAU